GCAUUGGUGGUAUAGUGGUGAGCAUAGCUGCCGUCCAAGCAGUUGAGUUGGGUUCGAUUCCCGGCCAACACA
rnacentral:tRNA from 1 species